rnacentral:rRNA from 1 species
AACGAACGCUGGCGGCAUGCCUAACACAUGCAAGUCGAACGAAACCUUCGGGUCUAGUGGCGCACGGGUGCGUAACGCGUGGGAACCUGCCCUUAGGUUCGGAAUAACUCCCCGAAAGGGGUGCUAAUACCGGAUAAUGUCUUCGGACCAAAGAUUUAUCGCCUUUGGAUGGGCCCGCGUUGGAUUAGCUAGUUGGUAGGGUAAAAGCCUACCAAGGCGACGAUCCAUAGCUGGUCUGAGAGGAUGAUCAGCCACACUGGGACUGAGACACGGCCCAGACUCCUACGGGAGGCAGCAGUGGGGAAUAUUGGACAAUGGGCGAAAGCCUGAUCCACCAAUGCCGCGUGAGUGAUGAAGGCCUUAGGGUUGUAAAGCUCUUUUACCCGGGAUGAUAAUGACAGUACCGGGAGAAUAAGCUCCGGCUAACUCCGUG